AUGGCUGUUGUCAAACCUUCGUUUUGGAUUAUUUUGUUCUUAUUUAUUCAUUUACGUGUUUAAAUAUGAGUAAAACUAUUAACUAUUACUGUUGUUCUGCAUGAUAUCCAAAUUCCAAGGAAAACAAGAAGAAUAAGAAGCUGAAUUCUACCAAAAACAAGUUUGUUUACGUGUGGUGUUGAAUUUCUUAGAAUAUUUCGUUUCUUUCGCGGGAAAUCUGGAAGAUGUAGAAGGAGUUGAUGCAAUAGUGAGAACUAUUGGUAUGCUCACACAGAGAUUGAAUAACAUCCCAGAACCAGUACUUUAAAGACAUUGCUUCCAUCACUGGUGUAAUAUCAAUACACAUAUAAUAUAUCGAUAGUGUCGGAGACGGAGACGAAAAAGGUAAACGCCUUCAUUCCCACUUUCAGCGUAACAAGAAUGGGGCUAGUUUGUGGGGUCUCUGUAGAUUGGAAUGUAGAGGAAGUUCAACAAAAUGUAUCCGUACCUAUAAGCUGCGACAAUACUUAAAAUAAGAUGUUUGAACCGCAAGUGAAAAUUAAAGAGUUGAUUUCUUGGAAACUCUCUGAAUCAGUUGUUAUAACAUUUGAUGGGCAAGUUUUACCAGUAAUGAUUUUCAUGUGCUAUAAUGCUCUGAGUUGAAAUAUAUUUUCCUAUGACGAAUGCCGAAAUGCUGCCGUUAUGGUCAUACCAAAGUCGUUCAAUGUCGUUCUAAGACUACAAUAUGUUAUAACUGAGGAGGUCAACAUGCAGGCGUGUCAUGUGACAGGUCAGAUGAAGAUCCUCUGUAUUGUGUAAUGUGUGAAGAGGAAGGGUCCCAUUCAGCGAUUGAUAUGUCAUGUCCUGAGUUUGUGUGUCAGACAGAUAACAAAGUUAAAAUAGCUCAGAGCUGCAUGUCUUAUGCUGAAGCCGGUAAAAGACAUAGCUUUAAGUUCAACAAUUCCGGAAUUACCAAAACCCUCAUAUUCUUCUGCAGCGAAGUCUGCAUCUCGUAAUAAUUCUACUAAUCCCUCAUAUAAAAGACAGUAUUCUUAAAACCUUGCUCUCCUCCUAAACCUCGAAAUGGUUAUGAUUGUGUUGCUCAUUAUAACAUAUUAAUAGACUAGAUCCAUAGCCUAAAAAUGGCAGUGCUUUGGUUGGCAAAAAUAAAGAGGAAGAAAAAAUUUGAUCUCUUACAAAUGAUAUGAACAUUAUUAACUACUUUAAUAAACUCAAACUUACUGAAACCGUCCCACAUUGCCUCUAUUAAAGAAAAAGUAAAACCAAUUAAUGUUAUGUGAUAUUUCUAUAGUUUCUGUUUAUCUUGCUCGUUACACUUUUAUUAUUCUCAAUAGCGUUAAUAAUUUACUCUCUUCACUGAGUCGUCCAUUCCUUCUAUUAGGUAUCUUUAACUCUCAUCACCAAAUGUUUGGUUGUGAUACUACCGACUCCAAUGGUGUAUGUUUAGUUGAAAUAUUAGAUUUACAUAAUUUGUGUUUACUUAAUUCUGGCUCACCAACCAGACAUACAAAGCCCAAUGAAAAGCUUAGCGCAGUUGAAUUAUCAAUUUGAACUCCAGAUCUAGCUUCAUCUCAUUCUUGGUACACUUCAUCAUCUACUUUUGGCAGUGAUCAUUUCCCGAUUAUCACAUCCUCUAACGCUCUCCUUAUCAAAAACGACAACCUCGUGUGAAACAUAAUGAUAACAUAACAUUAAAUAAUGCUGAUUGGCUUCAUUUAAAAUCUGUAUCAAAUCUAAAAUAAAAGAUUUGCUCAAAUUAAUUAGUGGUAGUGAGACCAAUUCUUCUAGAGCUUUGGCUACAUGUUUAAAAGAAUCUGUCGAUCAGAUUUUUUCUAUCAAACAAAAUCCAUCUAAUAAGAUUCCUUCUCCAUCAUGGUGGGAUAGAGAAUGUAUGGUUGCUGUAAAUAGAAGAAAGGAAGAUGAGAGAGUCUAUGCAGAGGACAGGCGGAGGAGGAGAGACAGGCGUCAAUGCGUCGGGUUGUCUCUCUCCCUAAAAUAUGGCGAGGGGGCCGAUGGCUGGCCAUGCAUCAUACUCGUGAACGGGUGCUACUUGUGGUUACUGAUCGUACUUGAAUUCGU